rnacentral:rRNA from 1 species
CCUACGGGAGGCAGCAGUGGGGGAUAUUGCACAAUGGGGGAAACCCUGAUGCAGCGACGCCGCGUGGGCGAAGAAGUAUUUCGGUAUGUAAAGCCCUAUCAGCAGGGAAGAAGAAAUGACGGUACCUGAGUAAGAAGCACCGGCCAAAUACGUGCCAGCAGCCGCGGUAAUACGUAUGGUGCAAGCGUUAUCCGGAUUUACUGGGUGGAAAGGGAGCGCAGGCGGCACGGCAAGCCUGAUGUGAAAGCCCGCGGCCCAACCGCGGGACUGCAUUGGGAACUACCGGGCUGGAGUGCCGGAGAGGUAGGCGGAAUUCCUAGUGUAGCGGUGAAAUGCGUAGAUAUUAGGAGGAACACCAGUGGCGAAGGCGGCCUACUGGACGGUGACUGACGCUGAGGCUCGAAAGCGUGGGGAGCAAACAGGAUUAGAUACCCUAGUAGUC